UACGUAGGAGGCGAGCGUUGUCCGGAUUCAUUGGGCGUAAAGAGCACGCAGGCGGUUUGGCAAGUCGGAUGUGAAAACCCGAAGCUCAACUUCGGGCCGUGCAUCCGAAACUGCCCGACUAGAGGUAGGUAGGGGAGAUCGGAAUUCCGUGGGUGUAGCGGUGAAAUGCGCAGAUAUCAGGAGGAACACCGGUGGCGAAGGCGGAUCUCGUGGGCCUUACCUGACGCUCAGGUGCGAAAG
rnacentral:rRNA from 1 species